rnacentral:lncRNA from 1 species
AAAACCUUGAAACCUAUCAACUCUCCAGAUGCCACCUCCAUCACUGCCUCCAGAUUGGCUGCUAAUGAAGCAAAGAGUUUUCAGAGACACAAAAUCGAAUGUAAUUGGUUAAAUGCACCGCUUUACACGUUGUGGCUCUCUCCCACACAUGCCGUUGCUAUCACUGGGGGACCCAAAUUCGGUGCAAGUAUUUGAGUUGUAAUAGUUUGUCUCUUCAAAGACAGCGCCUGAACGUCCCAGGCUGGAAAGCUGCCCCAGUGAUGGUUAUCAAGCCUGGGUCGUACAUCCUGCAACUGGACGAUGCUCCCAGGGUCCAGCACGAGUCCCAUCUUCUUUCAGCCUCCAAAGCCGUCAGUCGUCCUGGACAGAAGUCAGAGGAGCAACCUUAUUGGGUACAUCAUAAACUGUGAGAAGCCUGUGGAGCAGUUUUUGGAUCGAUCGCCCUCUGGUGGCACUUCAAGGAACUAACUUCUUGUACAGCUUGCGAGUCUUCGUUAAGGAGGACAUCUACCUGGCGCUGCUGCUGUGAAAAUCUCAGCGGAAUGCAUCUCUCUCUCUUCCUAACUGAAUACGCAUGACUUCUGCAAUCACAGAAAAGCUAUAAUUUUCAAAACAAUUUGAUGAGUUUCUGAUACAAUAUAAGGACAUUACAAAGCUGAACAAAAUUACAAAUAGAAAUUAUACUUGUUUUUAAAACACAAUCUAUUUCUAAUGUUUACUUUGUUUUCCUUAUUUCUCAACCCACCUCAGUUGAAUUACGAUAACCUUCAAAUGAGUCAUUUAUGAUUCAAAUGGUAAAUAAAUAUCUAAAGUUCUUUAUAAUAGAAAAUCCA